rnacentral:rRNA from 1 species
GACAGAGGGUGCAAACGUUGUUCGGAAUUACUGGGCGUAAAGCGCAUGUAGGCGGCAACGCAAGUCGGGCGUGAAAUCCCACGGCUCAACCGUGGAAGUGCACUCGAAACUGCGUAGCUAGAGUCCUGGAGAGGAAGGUGGAAUGCUUGGUGUAGAGGUGAAAUUCGUAGAUAUCAAGCGGAACACCGGUGGCGAAGGCGGCCUGCUGGGCUAUGGCUGACACUGAGGCGCGACAGCGUGGGGAGCAAACAGG